rnacentral:lncRNA from 1 species
UAUAUUGUGACCCAUUAAUGACAUCUACUGGUCACAAAAUUACUGCCAGACAGCGGUGGACACCGACACCAGUGCAGCUUCAAAUUCUUGAGCGUAUUUUUGAUCAAGGAUAUGGCACUCCAAGCAAGCAGAAGAUCAAAGAGAUAACCUCUGAUUUGAGCCAGCAUGGCCAAAUUUCUGAAACAAAUGUCUAUAAUUGGUUCCAGAAUAGGCGUGCACGGUCAAAAAGGAAGCAAUUGGUUACAGCACCUAACAAUGCUGACUCAGAAGUGGAGACAGAAGUUGAGUCACCUAAGGAUAAGAAAACAAAGUCUGAGAAUUUCCUCCCCCAACAGAACUCAGCUUCAAGGCCUGAGGAUCUCUGCUUUCAGAACCCCGAGCUAGGCUCCAGAUUGGAUUUCUUAGACCAACAGACCCAUAAAGAAGAAGCCAUAUUUCCAUCAGAUGGAGGAAUAAAACCUUCUGGAAAUCUGAGCCCAGUAGCUUUCUAUGCAGGUACUCGAUCAAACCCAUGUAGAUACAUGGUUUAAAUUUUCAUACCAGUAACUAUUUGAAUGCAGCUGUAGAAACAUUAGAGAAAAUAUAAUAGAUAAACUUUUUGGGAAAUUAAUUCAAAGAGGGUGUUUUUCCUUAGCGGGGAUGAUUUUAGUGUUUUUGAUGUACAACAAAAGAAUGUUACUUGUUACCACUUAGCAGUUUUGACCUGUCUAUCUAAUAUCAUUCAAUAAUAAUUAAUGAUGCAUGGUUAAUGUCACAGUUUGCCCCCAAUUUUGCACAAAAAUGAAAAAAUGGCCCUUGUUCCCAUCCAUGGCAUUAUCAUUAUAUUUUCAAUGACUCAAUCCUAGAAUGCUUUAUCCAUUUAUUAGGGUUUGGCUACAUGAUUUUUUUUGCCCAUCCUACUCUAUGUUUUAUCAUUUUUUGCAUAAGUCAUAGUUUUGAAAAAAUCAUUUUUUCCCACACCUUCAACCCCAAUUUUUUUUUACCUUCCUCCCCAAUUUUUUUUACCAUCCUCUUGUAUUUGUACCAAAAAUCAGCAUUUACAAAUGCAGUCAUUAGGCUUUGCUGCCAUGUCUCAUUUAAUCUUUUCUGUUGUAUGAUUUUUUCUAUAUGUGCUCAAAAUAAGUGGACCAUUAAAUAGAUUGUUUAUUCACAAAAAGGUCAUCUUUAGGAAAAUUCAUGUCUAGUGCCAUUUGUAGCAUAUAUCCAUAUUCUGUCAGUAUUAACAGAUUUUCAAACCAUCUACUUUUGAGGUCACAUGGUUUAUAACUAGGAAACCUAUCAAAAAAUGGUUCAUAACUAGGAAACAAAAAUAUACUGUUAUAUUGAUGGUAUUAUUAUUGCUUUGUAAUUGUGAACCACCAAUAUGAAAGCCUUGAUUGCCUUCCUAAUUGAUAAAUGCAGGAAAUGAUCACCAAAUUGGGAAGAUGGAAGUUCCAGGGAGCUAUAAUCCAUAUCAGCAGACAGAAGACUACAGCAUGUCAGGAUGACCCUCCUUUUGUCCAUCAUUGAUAUUUUAGUUCUAACUUCUAAGUCAUGUCAGUGAUCAGGGGGCUUUCCCAAUCUCAGAUUGAGGCUGUUGGGCUGGGCUAGUAGAUAUUGGAGUAAAGCACUAGCGUCUAAUCAUGGAAAUAUAUACUGCACCUGAUUGAGGACAGUUGUACACUUUGUAUGUUGAUGAUAACGAUGAACUGGCUUUCUGGCUAGACAAUGGAGCACACCCACAUUAUUUUGGAUAGUUCUCAUGUUUCGCAGACUCCUCAUCAGCUUGUUACAUUUUGCCUUUGGUUGAAAAAGAAUGAUCUCUAGAUUCUGAUAGUUCUCUUGUUUCGCAGACUCCUCACCCACAUUAUUGUUGAAGUUGCUUUUGUUUUCAUUACAAAUUUUUGAUCUUGCUCCUUCUGUAUAUGUUGAUUUUGGCAUAGUAUGGUAGAUGAUGGUGGUUGGGCCGUUGCUGACUUUUCAAGGGAAAUGUGGGGCCUGUUGCCAACAAGUCAAAGGCAGCAAAUUUCAUAAAUUUAUGGAAUGACCAGAGAUUUUUGGACACGUUUAAUAGUAGUAUAAGCCUGUUAUUUAACCAACAUCCCAAUUCCCAAAUUAGAAAAGGAGUUAUCCUUCCAACCAUUAAACCACAGAUUUUACAAAUACUUAUCAUAUUGUUCUGGUGUGCUCUGUUUUUGUUCUCUGAAAAUGCAUUCCUGACAACGCUUUCUACGCUCUGCCUUUUUCAGAGGCUUUCUGGUAUAAUUCUCGUUCUCUCUCUCAUUCUCUAUGAUUGCUCAUCGUGACUCGUUUAAAGAUGGGAAUGGUAUAUACAUAGUAUAUACCAAUAUCUAUAUUUCUAAAACAAUAUCACACUCAUCCCAAUAAACCUUUUCAUUUGUUAUGAAUGAGUUUUGCUUUCUUCAUCUGAGAGGCUACUUAUUAUCAAGUAAUUUUGAGUCCUCCCUUCAAAAAUUUUAACUGUUCAGCAUCCAAUGGAUUGGCACUUUGUGAAUGCAAGAACAUGAAGCUAAGACUUGGAUCUGUAAAUGAGUAAAUGCUUACUUAGAAGACUGCCAUAAAUCAGUCGUGUGAAGCAUUCCACACCCACCACAUUGUUGUUCGCAAGAAUGAUGCAAAGGGUUUCUUUCAUUCUUUGUAUACCUCUUUUCUUCUAGCUAAUGUCUUCCAUCUCUCACCGAUCAAGCUAUCUGCCACUUCUUUCACCGUUUUUUCAUGGUUCCAUAUGCUAUUUGGGGACUAUGCUGAUCUGCUAGGAUUUAACUGAAAUCAUGAUUUUAAGUGGGUGUUUGAUAAAUCAACUUAAUAACUUAAAAUUAUUUAAUAAUUUAAAAUUAUUUAAUAAUUUAAUUUAAGUUAUUAUAUUAAUUAAAUAUGUUUUAUAAAAUAUAUUUAUAAUAAGUUUUAAGUUAAUAAUUUAAUUUAAAAUCAAUUUAAAUUAUUAAAUAAUAAGUAUUAUAUUUUAUCAAAUGCCUUUUAAGUGCUCCACUUUAUUUAGAAUUAUUUCUAGGAUAUUGGUGCUCUACUGCUUGAUGAAAGAGAUCCAUCUUUGUUUUUUUCCUUGGGAAUUUUGACUUUGUUGUCACAUGUGAGAAUUUUCCAUUCAUGGGGAGCAAGAGAAGGAAGGUAUACAAAACAUAGUGUGAUAAAAAGCAGGUUGUGAAUAAAAUCAACACAAUGGAGGUGUAGGUUGUUAUUGUAGUACUUCAUAUAUGGUAAACUCUUUUUGCAUGAGACUAAUUAUUAAACUCUAUAUCCACAAUAUCUAUACAUGUGGAAAUGAGUUUCUAUGAAAAGAAAAUAUCUAAAUAUGAGGGAAACGAGGGAGCAGGUUUUUUUAUAAAAGAAAAAGGGGAAAGGGGAAUAGGUCUUUUGAGCUGUGAGACUGAUGAGGCACCACAGUAGCAUAUGUGGAGUGAUGAGCUGGUCCAUCUAUCAACUUGGAUCAUGCAUAAACACCGUCGGAGGUGGCAACCCUAGUCUAGGUUGUCUCUGUGCUUAUGGAGACAUCAUCGCCUUGAUCUUGGCACGCAAUAUGUGCCACUCACCAAAAGUUGUCAUGUUUUGAGGUUCCACGAACUUUUGACAUGAUGUUAUCAUUGAAAGGGCCUCCCAACAUGCAACCUUAGCUCGCAAUGGAAGUCACUCACGAGCUUUAGAAAUUUUGGAGGAACCCAUUAGUAGAUGGUUUAAUUAGUCUUUCAUCCUCGUUCACAUCACUAUCAUUGUAAGCUUUCAUAAGAGUUUUCUCUUUAAGAGAAAAAUAUCUAUUGCCACAAUUCAGAUUCGGGGUGACAUGAAACUCGCAUCAUGAUUCCAAGUCAAAGGUUUAAUCAUUAGCAUUACACUGAUUUGAAGUUGACAAUCAACUAGUUAACCCAAUGUUUUAUUAAAAAUUUAAUUGUCCAAAUUUUGGUUAACUCAAGUCAAUAAGAAGAUAAAAAAUGCAAUCCAUUGCUCCCAAGACCAAUUAAAAUAGAGGAAAUGAAUGAACACACCACAUUGCUUAGUGAUUGUCUUGCACCUACUCCAACUGUUGAAUUUGAAAUUUAACUCUGUAGAAGUGUUUGAGACGUCGAAGAGAGUGGCCUGCCAACAUGAUGUUCCACAAACUUUUGACAUGAUGUUAUCAUUGAAAGGGCCUGCCAACAUGCAACGUUAGCUCGCAAUGAAAGUCACUCACGAGAUUUAGAAAUUUUGGAGGAACCGAUUAGUAGAUGGUUUAAUUAGUCUUUCAUCCUCGUGCACAUCACUAUCAUUGUAAGCUUUCAUAAGAGUUUUCUCUUUAAGAGAAAAAUAUCUAUUGCCACAAUUCAGAUUCGGGGUGACAUGAAACCCGCAUCAUGAUUCCAAGUCAAAGGUUUAAUCAUUAGCAUUACACUGAUUUGAAGUUGACGAUCAGCUAGUUAACCCAAUGUUUUAUUAAAAAUUUAAUUGUCCAAAUUUUGGUUAACUCAAGUCAAUAAGAAGAUAAAAAAAUGCAAUCCAUUGCUCCCAAGACCAAUAUUUAUAUCUAAAAUUAAAAUAGAGGAAAUGAAUGAACACACCACAUUGCUCAGUGAUUGUCUUGCACCUACUCCAACCGUUGAAUUUGAAAUUUUAACUCUAUAUAAGUGUUUGAGACAUCGAAGAGAGUGACCCUUCCAAAUUUUACUAAAAAUAUGCAUGAGUUCACCAUUGGAUUUCCAAACCCAUCUUGGCAUGUUCUUCGUCAUGCAUGACACCUCUUCUCUCUCAAGCCAAAAUGUAGAGAAAAAUUGUUUUUUGCCACUCAACUCUUUUUCAUAUACAGUAUAAUCUGUUGUGUCAAUGAAAGUUUUAAUGCAAACAAUGUUAGAUUAUGAAUAGAAAAGAUAAAACGAUCACACAAAUGACAUAUAAGGUUUUAACGUGAUUCAACUAACCAUGCCUAUAUCUACGGAUGAAAGAGAAUCUUUCCAUUAUACCAUAUGUGAAUUACAAUGAAACAAAACUUGAGUCUAUGACCUAAUCUACUGUAUGCAAAUUCCUUAUGAAUUGAUAUUCCCAAUCUAAUAAGGUAGUGUUACCAUUAUUAGGAACUCUGGAUUACUUUGUUAUCAUACCCUAAAUCUAGUAGGGUGCAUGUAUUUAUUCCUAGGCAUCUCUAAAUCUAUCGUGUCAAAAUAAAAUGACAAUAAAAACUAUUUUAGAAUAAAGAUUUAGAGUUUUGAAUCCCAUACCUGGAUUUGGAUGUUCUCAUAUAAAUUCCUUGCGGUGAAGAACAUGUUUGAAUAGUCUAAAAGUCUUGUACACCUAAGAUCUUCCGCUCGAUGACUUAAACCAUGAUCUUGGUGUGGGCUUUAGAAGGGUGGAAACCUUGACUUUUUCUUUCUUUCUGGAGGUGAAAGAUGACUAACUAAAGUCAUUAGGAAACCUUAACCCAUAAGGAGUUUUUUAUAGGGUUGCCCACUAGGCUUAAGUAACUUGAGCCUAUCAAGGCUUGGGUCACUUAAUAUUGCCCUAAAUAGUUUUUAAUUGAUUAAUUAACUACAGAAGGUCAUCUAAUUAGUGAAUUAGCUCAAUCCAGAGACUUUGUUCAUUAUCCCUUAUGCAAUCUUGCUAAUUUUCAAAACCCUUUUAUGCACAAGAAUGAACCUAGAGCCAAUCCAACCCUUAUAAACCUUGUCAUCAUGAUAUAUAUAUGAGCUUAGAAUGGGGACCAUUGGAACCCAUAGGAAUACUGGUUUUCUUAAAAUCUAAUUCUAAAGUUGAUUCAACAUUUCACUAAAGAGAAUCAAUUGUACUCCAAUAAUCUAUGUAAAUAACAACGAGACGAAACUCAAGUCCAUGACCUACUAUUCAUUGCAUGUAGACUCCCUAUGAACCAAUGUAUGUAAUAUAACAAAAUAGUGUUAUCACCUAUCAAGAUCACCUCUCCAAUAUUUGAGUUAUAGAUCUCACUUAUUAUGUGAUCAACUGACAUACUCUAACUUCAAGGAGCAUAUAUCAAAUUCCAUUAAAGGAAUUACCAUCGCACCAUAGAUUUUAUGAUCACAUGUCCUUUAGACCAUUUAAGAGGACACAUUGUCUCAAUUCCAUGAGAUAUCAUGGUGUCUUUAUUGAGAAUACUUGUUGCCACUAGCCUUCAUAAAUAGUGAGUCAAUUCAUAAGGAUAUAUGACCAAUUUAGGAUCUUACCCAUAAGUCAAAGCCUCCUAUUGAUUUUGGCACAUGAUCAAUAUCCUCUCAAGGUUGAGAGUUCAUGUAGUAUAGUAACUUGGUGAAUCAUGAUAAUUGAUAACUUUGCUUCAUGAUUUACUAUAAGUCCUGCUUAGUGUGCAUCAUAUAUACUAAAUCACUCACCAUGGGAAACCCAUCUUGACGGCGAAGACAAACCAUCCCUCGAAUUAGGAAGUAGUACACUAUAGUUUCUAUUAGAGUGCCCAAAUCUAUGAACCGACUAUGGACAAUUUAUCUACUUACAAGAAACUCAUGACUUGUAUCUUUUAUAUAACUCCCAAUGCACCUAAGUGAUGUAUAAUGUAAGAGACAAGAGUUGAAUACUCAAAUCAAUGUCAAUACAUCAAAACGAUAGUAAGGAGACAAUGAAUUCUAACUUUAUUAUAUCAUGUCUUACUUUUAAGGGCUUAAUCUCAACAAACUCCCACUAGCCCCAAAAGCAGACUAGGCACCACAAAAAGAUUUUGUUCCACAAUCACUACACCUCUUCGUAUUAUCUCACAAUAAAGUAGAACUUCCUCUCUAUGUGUUUCUUGUUCUAGUGGUUCUUCAGUUCUUUAGACUAUACCACCAUCACACUGUUAUUACAUAAUAAGAUUUUAGACGAUAUAACCAAGGGAACUACCCAUAAGCUGAAAGGCUUCUUUUGUUGCUACAGAAGCAACAAAAACCAAUUAAAGUAUACUCAUACCUAGAGUUAGGCCUGUAUGAGUCCAUAUCAAACUGAAAGUCCAACUCCUAGUACAAAUAGAGUACCAACUCAUUGCAAAGAUUCAUAAACACAGAAUCUCUCGUUCUCCAAAGAUACUUGAGUAUAUGCUUAACAUUUGCCCAAAACUCUAAUCCUGAAAUGGACUAAUAUCCACUCAUUAUUUCUAUAACAAAGCAAAUAUCUAGUUUAACAUAUAUAACAUACUUAAGGUUACCUUUUACAAAAACAUAGGAUAUUGCCUUAAUGCAAUCUUUCUCCUCAGAUGUUCAAGGACAUUAAUCUUAAGAAAGACAACUCUAAACCCAAAGGGUAACAAACCCUUCUUAGAGUUUUUGCAUCAUGUACUUAACCAAAUGCUCAUCAAUGUAGGUGACAUUGCGCAAUUUUCCAAUUCUUGUAGUCCUAAAGGACCUUAACCCUAAGAAUAUACUAUGUAUUUCUUUAGUUUUAUCUAGAACUGAGUAGACUAUUAGAUCCUAACUGAUGACAAUAUCCCUUCAUCAUAUCCAAUGAGUAGAUUGUUAUCUACCUAUAAGAUCUUAGAGCAUCAACAUGCUUCCUUGUGCCUUCUUAUAUAUACAAGACCCUUUUGCUAUGAAAAUAUUUGGUUGUUGUAUCUCAUAAAUGAGAUACACCAUAAUAAAUAGGAGUCCUUUGUUGGAUUUGAGUAUGACCAUUGUUGAAAAAGUUUUCCAUAAUUGAAACAAAAUUUCAAACUAUAACCUUUAGCUAUAGUUUUAGCCACAUAAAACUCAAGCUUUUCAUCUACUCUUGUAUUCAUCUUGUAGACCAACUUACAUCUAUAGGUUUUAUUACUUGAAGUGCUUCAACAAGAACUUUAUUCGAAUACAUAGAUUAUAACUACUUUUUCAUAACUCCUUGCUUUAAGUGAGUAUAAACACUACUCACCUAGCACAAACACUUCAAAUGCUUCAAGUGCAUGUAUUCUAUUUUCUUGUACUGUGGUUUCAUCCCUAUGAAUGCUAUCUUGUGCACUUAGUAGAUAAACUCCCAUUUUUCUUAUGUUUUUUUCCUUUUUUUUGCAAGUGUUCCACAAAAAGCCUUAUCUUGCAACUAACGUUUAUUUGUUUGCGUUUUAAAAUAGCCAAGAUGUGUUUGAUGAUGAAAUAAAGUAAAAAUUAUUUUUAUUUUAUUUUUUAAAUAAUAAAUGAAAAUAAAAUUUAUUUAUUUUAAACACUAUUAUGAAAAUGAAUCAUACUUUACCAUAGUUUUUCAAACAAAAUGCCAAAAAAUGUAAUUUUAACGAAAAACCCAAUGUUGGUUGUUUAGAUGAAAUUUUAUUUAGCCCACCUACAAUUUGAUAACCCAAAUGGAAGCGAUGUCGUUUUUGCUAGGUGUAGCCUAACUAGUAAACAUCCCUAUUGCUUGCCACAUGGACAGAACAAGCCACGUUUCAGUUUACAGAAAGUAGUGUUUUAAAAAUUGAACUGGACCGGUCGGUCUAACUGUUGACCAGUCACCAAUCUGAUCCAAUUUAGCCAUUUGAGUCGGGUAGCCUUUGAACCGGCAUCGAACCAUUGUUGAAACGCCGAAACCAGUUAACUCGACCUGUUUCGGAUGAACUGAACAGUUCAAAAAACCCCCAUCUCUUUUCCCUACUUCCAAUUUCUACCUCAAUCGUCAUGCCCUUUUUGUUCCCGGCAUGGGCCUCCGGCCUCAACUGCUCCCCUUCUCCCCACCCAUCAUUUUUCUGCUCCCAGCGUGCACCUGUCCUCCCUAACAUCCUUCUUCCUACCCCUUCAUCUUCAUUUCAUAUAUAUAUAUAUAUAUAUAUAUAUAUAUAUAUAUAUAUAUAUAUAUAUAUAUUUUUUUUUUACCUUAUUAGUUCAUAUCAUUAUUAUUUAUUUUAUUAUUUAUUUUUUUUAUUUUUUUAACUUUAUGAUUUUUAAAACUUGUGAUUUUAAUUUAAAUGAAUGAAAACAUUAUAAUUUCAAAUAAGUUUUUGAUUUAAAUUUAAAAAUUUCUAAUUUAAAUUUAAAUUUCUAAUUCGAAACUAAUUUUUGAUUUUCAAAUAAUAUUUUAAUUUUUAAAUAAUAUAUAAAUUAAUAUUUUAAUUUUUUAUAAUUAUUUUUAAUUUUAAUAAUAUAAAAAUUAUAUAUUUUUAAUGUCACUGGUUCGACCACGGUUCGAUCGUCAGUCCGAUUAGUGAAUUGUGAACUGAUAAAUUUUUGGGUUAAAUGACCUGUCUGAUUCUGAAAAUAAUGACAGAAAGGGUGGAUUCAUCCAUUAUGCAACAAUACACGGAAAAACAAAGGGUCUAUAUGGUUGUUGUUUUCAAGAACCUUCUUUUCUUGAAUACAAAAAACACUAAAAACCUGUUUGAUAAAGAAAAUAGUUUUUAUUUUUGUUGUUCCCUGUGUUCUCAAAAUGGCUCUUUUUAGAGAACAAAAAAAAAAAUGUUGUUUUUGUUAUUUUUUUAACUGUUUAGAGAACCAAAAAAAAAAACAGUUGUUCUUCAUGUUUUUCUUCUCCUUGUUCUCACAUUUCAUUUCCUCCAGCAUAGUGAGGACGUCUCCAACAACACGAAAUGAAGGUAUUUCUACCAACACAUCUAUGUUUUCCUUUUAUUUCUACACAUAUUGAAGUUAUUUUUGGUAGAUUUGGUAAAAUAAGUUUAUUUUGGUAAUAUUUGUUGAGAAAAAUGUUAGAUCUAGGCAAAAAGUUUUUUUGGUAUUCUCAACUCUUUUGUUUUCAAAAAAUGUAGGAGUUCUCGGAUGAAACAUAGCAAAACCUUUUUUUUUUUUGCCAUAUCGAAACUUUAUUUAAUUUUUGUUUGUUUUGAAAUCUAAGUUUUGUUUGGAAUGAGAUUAGGGGAAUGUUUUUCAGUUCUGUUAUUCGAAUGAGAUCUUAGUCUUUUUUUAUUAUAUCAGGUGUUUUUUUCCUUCUAAUUUUUCCCUUUAGGAUACUGAGAAAACUAGGCAAAGAGAAGGAAAACAAAAUUGUUUUGUUCUGAUUUUUCUUGAGUUGUUUUGUUCAAGAAAAACAAAAUUUGCUUAAGAACAUGCAAGUGAGUGAAAAUGAGUUACUGAGACAAAAUUUAAUGAUGAAUUUCAUUGAAGAUAAAUACAAGCUUAAAAAAUAAAUUUGAUUUUUGUGUUAAAUUAAUUGUUCCCGUCAUUAUGUCUUUUUUAGGGGGCCUUCUGUCUAUAAAUGGGAUAAAUAAGGAUAGUUACAUUGAUCCAAAUAUUUAUCUGAAUUCCAAAAUGGCAAUUGACCCUUAUAGAACUUGCAAAAACUAUCUCUUUGGACUGGGUUACCAUUCAUUAUGUUGUAUUUGCAGAUCAUUUGUCACCACAGUGACAUAUAUUGCCCACAAUUACUAGGAAAUGCUUUGGUGGAUCAUUUUUUGUCCUAGAAACAUAUAUGAGAAAGCAUAAACAAACUUUGAAGCAAGAUUUUUUUUUUUUUUUUAAUUACUAGGCUCUAUUUGGAUUUUAGGAGGUUUUGAUUGAAAUAUAAGAGAAAGAAAAAUGAAAAAUUUGAAAAUCUGCAAGUUUUCACAUAAUUUUUAUCAUAUUCUAUUUUCAUUUUCCUUUCCCUAGUACUCUUCAUGAUCUAAUAGAGCCAAGGGAAUUCUAAGUAAAUUGGAUAGAAACUUGUUUAUGUUUCCUAUUUCUCCAUUUCAUGUUUCUCAAGCAUUUAUGGACGUUGGUUCAUAAGUUGUGAUGCAAUUUUAUUUGAGAACUUACAUCUCCCGUAUGACUUUCUAAGUGCUUUACUUUUAUUUUAUUAAAGUUCCCCAUUUGUUUCUACAUUCUUUAUCCAAUUCAAGUUCCCUAUGCAUGUAAAUGAAAGUGUUUUUUUGCUUAUGUUUCACAUUAUUUCUUGCUUCACAUUGUUUGUUGGUUGUAUAUGUGAAUUUUUUUGAGAACUUAUUAUGUUUUGUAAUGCCUUUUCCUCUUUCAACUUCUUCUCUAAGUCUAAAGCUUUGUUACAGAACAAUUUAUUAAAUUAGAGUUAAAGGUGAUUUUGAUGGGGUGCCCAAUGAAUUGUUGAACAAUCAAAUUAUACUUGAAUUGUUAUUUUGUUUGGUGCAUUCUUUAGGAUAAGAAAUCUGUAAAUGUUGCAGUCAGUAUUUUAUUAAUUGAACAAAUAGUUAUAGAACUUUAUUAAUUAGAAAAAAAGGAAAAGAAAUCAUGCCAAAUUUAUUAAUUAGAAUGGAAAAUUUAUUAAUUAUACCUUUCUUCUCCUACCUCUAGUAGGAAAUUUUUUUAAUUUUCCUAAAAUAAUAAGAAAAAAAUUAAAUUAGUUCUUUUUAGAGCUUUUUAUCUUAUCUUAAUAGAAGAUACUAUAAUUUUUAAUAAAUUUAAAGAUUAAAUUAAGAAAAAAAAUGUUAAUAAAAAUGAUUUUGUCUUGUUUGAUUUAUUAUAUAAAUAUAAAAAGAAAAUCAAAUGUAAUUAAAAUUAAUUAUUUUAAAUUCUUGUUAUAAUAAAUCAAAUGUAAUUAAAAUUAUAAUAAAAAUGAUUUUGUCAUGUUUGAUUUAUUAUAACAAAAUAUAAAAUAAUUUAUUUUUAUUUUAUAAAAACAUGAUUUAUCAUGUUUAAUUUAUUACUUUUCUUUCAUUUUUCCUCAAUUUUUCAUUCAAAUUUUAUAAAAACUAAAUAUAUAUAUAUAUCUAUGAUCUAAUUAAUAUUAAAUCUAUUUUUAUUUUUAUUUACUCUUCUUUUAUAUUUUCUUUCAUAUUUUUAUAUACCAUACUUUAACAAUCUUAAUUCUUAUUCAAAUAGACCCUUAAAUUCUGUUGGUGAUUCUAAAAGUUGUCUUCUCAUAGGGUUCUUAUUUAUGUUGGGAUUGUACAGAUGACAAGUGAGAUAACAGAUGUUGAGGAUGAGGAACAUAGAAAGGUAAUAUAGAGAAAAUCCUUAUUAACAUCGUGGUAAAUGAAGUUAAUAAGGGUAACAUGAAUAGUGGUACAUUUAGUACCAACACAUGGAGGAGGAUCUUACUUAAGGUCAAUAGUCAAGGGAAAAAAAAAAAUUCAAUUUAAAGCAACUUAAACAAAAGUUUAACAGACUAUGUGCAAUGUACCAUGGGUUUUUUGAUCUUUUAAAGUAUAUUGGAUUUGGUUGGGAUGCUAAAACUAUCACGAUGCAUGCUCUAAAGGAAACCUGACAAAAUUACAUUAAGGUAAAAACAACUUUUAAACUAAUUAUUUUUUAAUUUAAAUAUUUGAUAUACACUAAGAGUGAGUUUUUUUCCUUUAUUAGGCACACCCAAAUGCAAAAAGAUUCCGCUCAAAAGCAUGCCCAAACUACAACUUGCUAGAAUUGGUAUUUAAUCAUUCAAAAGCAACUAGUGCCCUCAACUACUUUUCCACCCAAUAUCCACCAAACUGGUGAUGAGGAUGGGAUGGAUGGCAAUUUGGAACAUAGUGGAGUGCAUGUGGAUGUAAAUAGUGAGAUCCCUAAUGAUUCUCUACAACCAGAAAUGGUGGGAUGAGUGACCACCCGAUCUAGAAAGUGUGCAACUGAUUCUUAAUUAGAGCUUAGAGGUAAAAAAAAAAAAAGUCCAAAUUAAGUCAAAUGUGAGAUGCUUUGAAAGUUUGGGUUGAGACAUCAAAGGCUAGAAUAAAGACAUCUUAAGCUAGAACUGAAGCAUUGUUGGCUAGAGUAGAGAGAUAUAAGAGUGAAACUAGUAGUGAAGCUACUAGUACAAUUACUAAUGAUUUUAACAUAACAAGGUGCAUGACAACCUUACAAACCAUUGACUUGUUGGAUAAUGACAAAUAUUUAAAAUUUGUUGAGAAAUUCACAACACUGGAAUGGAGAGGGAUUUUUAUGAAUAUGCCUGAUGAGAAGAAAAUGACAUGACUUGAUAGGCUUUAAAUGUGAGUGUUUGAAUGAAUAACUAUUAUGAUAACACCGUAAUAUAUACUAUUUCUCUUUUGUUUAGAAUUUUUUUAUCGUGUUCUUUAGCUUUUCAUUGUAUGGAUACUAUUUAUGGUUAUAAAACUUAUAUUAUAUCUACUUUAAUGUUCAUUUCAUGCUAUUUUAUAUUGUGAGUUAAUUUGUUUUGUGUAGCAACCAAUGAAUCAUAAUAUCACAAGUAGUGGUUCACUAUAUGAGUCAAUUUCAUCUUUUGAAGAGGACGAUAAUUUAGAUGAAAUUUUUAUUGCUCACAUAAUGAAUGAGUAUGAGGAAAUAUUUUUAUGCAAAACACCUCAAAAAACAUCAAUAUUAAGUAGUACACAAUUUAUAAUCGAUAUGAUAGAUGGUUAUCCUCAAACAUGCUAUGAACUAUUUCAGAUGGAUAAAGAAACAUUUUUGAACCUUUGUGAUCAUCUUAAAAGACAUGAAAAUUUACAAGAUACACAAUUAGUUAUAGUUGGAGAGACAAUUGUUAUAUUCUUACUAAUAGUAGGACAUAAUGUGAGAAUGAGGGUUGUAAUAGAUCGUUUUCAACACUCUACAAAAAUUGUUGCUCGACACUUUAAAGAAGUUAGACGUGCAUUAUGUCGACUUAGCAAUAUGGCCAAUGAGCUGUCUUUAUAUGUUGCUAGUAAUCCUAAAUAUUUUCCAUGGUUUAAAGUAAGAUUUUAUAAAAAAUAUUUAUAAAUGUGAAUUUCAUGUACACAAAUAGUUUUCAUGACCAUUGUUUUAAUUCCUAAAUAAUAAUAAAUGUUUGUUGUUGUAGGACUGCAUUGGUGCAAUUGAUGGCACUCGUAUUAGUGCAUGGGUCCUAAUCGAUAGACAAAACAAUUUUAGGGGUAGAAAAACAAUUAUAACACAAAAUGUUAUGUGUGCAUGUGAUUUUGACAUGAUGUUCACAUUUGUUUAUGUUGGUUAGGAAGGAACAACAAAUGAUGCACAUGUCUUUUUAGAUGUAUUGACUAGACCAUAAGUCAAUUUUCCUUGGCCAAAUGAAGAAAAAUAUUAUUUAGUUGAUUCUAGUUAUCCUUGUACAUUUGAAUUUUUGCCACCAUAUCAAGGUGAGCAAUAUCAUUUACAAGAAUAUCGGGAUAGAUGUCAUCAACCUAUCAGGUAUAAAGAACUUUUUAACUAUAGACUUUCAUCAAUUUGGAAUAUUAUUUAAAGAUGUUUUGGUGUUUUGAAGACACGAUUUCCAAUAUUAAUGAUGAUGCCUUGUUAUAAGCCAAGUAGGCAACCAUCAAUUGUUGUUGUAUGUUGUACCCUUCAUAAUUGGAUUCAUCUAUCAACUCGAAAUGAUCAACUAUUUAGAGAAUAUAAGAUAGAAGACCUUUCAGUCCAAGGUGAAGAGGAAAACACAGAUGACACAAGUCAUUUAAUUGAUUUAUCAUAUAAGAGUGUAGCAACUAUGGUAACUUGUAGAGAUCAAAUUGCUCAAGUGAUAUGGGCAAAUUAUAUCAAUGUCAAUCCAUGACUUUUAUUGUUUUUAAUUCUAAAUAUUUGUCAAUACUUUAGUGUUCUGUUAAAAUUUAUAUAUAGUUGUUAACUUAACUAGUUCUCAGUAGUGUUAUGUGAUGUAUGUUGUAAUUUCUAAUGAUUAAAUAUUGCUUAUAAAUUUGAUUUAUAAUUGUAAAAGUAGGAUGAACAAAAGAUUUGUGUAUGGGUGUGGACAGAUGCGUAUUUUCAUGUCGAAAACAUAAAAGAACAAUGGUCAUUGGUUUUUAUCGUUGUCUAUUUUAUCAUGUAAGUAUAUUUAAUUAUCACAUGAAAACAUAUUGAUAUUAGUGAAAUACAUACAUCAUAUUUUAUUUUAUUUUUUAACAAUUUAUGUAUUGUUGGAACAUCCUCACUACUUUAUAUGAGUUGACGAGAAUGAUCCACAACAAUCUCAACAACUAAUUGUCAACUUACAACACUCAAUGCCUACAACAAAUCCUCAAAGUCGUCUUCUACUUAUUGGUUGUUGUGGGUGUAGCAUCAUUGUGUGUUUUAUUAUUAUUAUUAUUAUUAUUUAUCAUCUUUCUUUUUCUUAUUUUAAUUAUUGCUAAGUGAAUAUAUAUGUUAUCUAAAAAAUUAUCAUCUAUAAAUUUUGGAACUUUAAUAUAUUAUAUUAAAAUAUAAUGUUAGCAUUAUAAUACUUAUAGUAUUUAUUUGUGUUAAUAUUAAUUGUGUUAGUAUACAUAUAAUUUGGAUGAUUUUUUUAAGCGAAACAUGUAUUAGUACAAUGCAUUUAUGAUUAAAAUAAAUGUUUUCAAAAUGAUUAUAGAGUUUAUCAUAUGUACAAAUACAAAUAUUGUUGAAAUUAAUAUAGUUAUAGAUAUUACAAAGUCAUUUCCCACAAAAAUAUCGGUGGUCAACGUCCACGUUGAUCAAGUCAAAGCUAAAAAAUGAGUUAUUUCCAUGCUGUCGGGGAGUUGAAUCCCCCCAACCAAAAGGUUGGUUGAGCACCCACCUUACAUUGGGGCGCACACGUACACACACAUAUAUAUUAAUUUUUUCAACAAAACAAUUUUAAAAUGUCUAUUAUACUUCUAAUUUAAUUUGUAAGAGCUUUAUUUUACAUUUUCAAAAGUUUUAAUCAAUUUUAAGUGGAUCGAUAUUUUGUAUCAAAAUAUCUGUUGAUAUAUCUCUUAUAUAUCCGUAAAAUCAAACUACCGAUAUAUCUGUUGAAAACUUCCAAACAUAUUUUUUAUUUUAAAUUUUUUUGUAUUAAUUCAAUCAAACUACCGAUAUAUCUGUUGAAAACUUCCAAACAUAUUUUUUAUUUUAAAUUUUUUUGUAUUAAUUCAAUCAAAUAUUUUUUUUCGAAUAAAAUCUGUUUUCUAGAAUUCAGUUUUCAAAUACAAUUUUUAUUUAUUUAUUUUUAUAACACCAAGAACCCAUUUAGUAUAAAUUAUAGAACGUUUUUAAUAUUUCUACUCAAGAACAGUGUUAAAAAUUUUAAAAACACUUUCUAUAAUCACUAGAGCGCACUCUAAAAACUGUUUUCCAAAACAUUUUUAAAAAUCAGCAACCAAAUAAGCCCGAACCGUCUUUGUUUAAAGGGUUAGGUUUUGGGCAUCAAAAUGGAGGCUGCGAGAACGGUGGAUUGCUACACACACUUCUACCACCGCGUCUCGAAGACUCCGGCCUCAAAGCUGCCACCGCCGUCCGAUCACGCGCAGCCUCAAUCCGUGGUUUCCUUUUUCGUGGUUUCCUUUUUACCUUUUGGUGUAUGUACUCAGUGCUGACUUUGUUAGACAGAUGGAGAGAGAGUAACGAGAGCGAGAAGAAGAAGAAGAAUAAGAAGAAGAGAGUAUGGAGUGGGAGAAGCAAGAACAACACCAUCACCACCGCCACCACCACCAACAAGAAGAACUGGAGCAGAAUGCAAAUGUAAAUGGAAAUGGAAAUGGGGGUGUAUUUUACGUGAAGGUGAUGACGGACGCCCAAGUGGAAAUUCUGAGGAAGCAGAUAUCUGUGUAUGCUACCAUAUGUGAACAGCUGGUUGAGAUGCAUAAAUCACUCACUUCUCACCAAGAUCUUGCAGGUCUCCCCCUCUCUUUCCUCUAUUUCUCUCUAUAUCCUUUCUGUGAUGCCUACUUUACCAGGUUUCUUUUUCUUCUGAUUUCUUUUAGGGUUUGCUUUGGUUUAUCUUUUUAUUUUUCUUCUGGGUUAUUGUCUCUUUGAUAUUAUUUGUUUUUAAAGAAAAAUCAAUGUAUGGUGUAUGUUUAUGGUUUUCUUUUUCCUGGAAUUAUUUCAGGGUAGUUUUGUAUCUCAUUUUGGGUUGAUUAUACUUAAUUGCAUAUUUAUUGUAUUUUCUGUUUGGCCUUUUGAGGUUGAUCUCGCAUUUGACCCAGAUAAUUUGGACUUGUCUGAAGAAAUUAUUUCUGUAAUCAACGAUUUGGGUUUUGUGCUCAUAAUGGUUUGGUACAAUUGGACAUGGGGAUCCUGACUUUCUUCUUAUACCUUUUCUUUUCUUCAGUUGGGUUUUGUAGAUUUAGUGUCUAUGAAAAUUUUCACUUGAAUUUGGUUUCAUUUUGACUGUACAACUCUGUUUUUUAUUUGCUUUAACUCUAUCUAGCACAUUACUUGGCAUACAAGCUGCACUUGUACGGCUCAUCAAAUACCAAAGGGAGAAACUCCCUGAAGUCUAUCGCUUCUUCUUCUUUAUAUUAGUUGAGCAAAUGUUGAAUUCUGAAUCAGUAUAUUUAAAGAAAAGUUCGAUUUUCUAUUAUGGAAGGGAUGAUAAUUCCAUUGGCUCAAUGUGCAAUAGCCAAUUUGGGCAAGUUGAUGGAUUAUUUUUUCUCUCUUUUAGGACUGAGAUUUUAAUUCUUUUCCACCAUUCUGUCAUAUAAAUUAAUUAUAGUGGGAGAUGCAGCUUGACUUAUCAUUGUUGGAUGUACGGAGUCUUUGUGUCAUUUGAUGGGUUUCUAUCUGAUGAUCAACCAUUACCGGAAUCAUUGGAAUGCAAAAUUUUGACUAUACGUGUUAUCUUGUGUGGUGCCAAGAGGAACAGCACAAGAUGUACCCAAAAACUUACCAAUAAUCUCACAGUUUGUAUAUAGUGCCAGGCUUGUAUAUAGUGCCAUCAUUGCCAAUUGCAAUUGGAUAUUUCCUCUGGUUGUUUUAAUUGUUUUGUCCUACAGACUUUCAACGGUGGAAACUGUCACAUGUCUGUAACUUCUUCAGCUAAUUUGUUUUGUCUGCUGGCCCUCACAGAGAGAUGAAUACUUCAUAUAAUUCUAUUGUUUGCUUGCAAAGAAUGUUUGAUCCAUUUGUCAUAUGUAUUAGGAACACUUUCUCUUUUAAACCUUGUCAAGCUUUUCAUUACAAGAUAUGAUUCAUUCAUUCAAAGUUAGAAAAACAGUAAACUAUGAUCUUGAAUGUGCUUUGUACUUAAUGAUUAUUGGUUUGCAUCUUUUGUUGACACUCCAUUUUUUACUUUAACAACAUUUCUUUGCUCUCUCAGGAGUCAGACUGGGAAAUCUAUAUUGUGACCCAUUAAUGACAUCUACUGGUCACAAAAUUUCUGCCAGACAGCGGUGGACUCCGACACCAGUGCAGCUUCAAAUUCUUGAGCGUAUUUUUGAUCAAGGAUAUGGUACUCCAAGCAAGCAAAAGAUCAAAGAGAUAACCUCUGAUUUGAGCCAGCAUGGCCAAAUUUCUGAAACAAAUGUCUAUAAUUGGUUCCAGAAUAGGCGUGCACAAUCAAAAAGAAAGCAAUUGAUUACAAUGCCUAACAAUGCUGAAUCAGAAGUAGCGACGGAAGUUGAGUCACCUAAGGAUCAGAAAACAAAGUCUGAGAAUUUCCUCCCCCAACAGAACUCAGCUUCAAGGCCUGAGGAUCUCUGCUUUCAGAACCCCGAGAUAGGCUCUAGAUUGCAUUUCUUAGACCAACAGACCCAUAAAGAAGAAAACAUAUUUCC